UACGUAGAGGGCAAGCGUUGUCCGGAUUUAUUGGGCGUAAAGAGCGUGUAGGCGGCCAGACAGGUCCGUUGUGAAAACUCGAGGCUCAACCUCGAGACGCCGAUGGAAACCGUCUGGCUAGAGUCCGGAAGAGGAGAGUGGAAUUCCUGGUGUAGCGGUGAAAUGCGCAGAUAUCAGGAAGAACACCCGUGGCUAAGGCGGCUCUCUAGUACGGUACUGACGCUGAGACGCGAAAGCGUGGGGAGCGAACAGG
rnacentral:rRNA from 1 species